rnacentral:lncRNA from 1 species
AGGUCCUAAAGUAUUUCUCUCUGCUUCAGGGUGGCAACAUCGAGAAAUGUUCACAGUGUACCCGCACUGUGUACGCUAUGGAAAAGUUAGAAGUGGCUGGGCGUGUAAUGCAUAAGACGUGCUUCCGGUGCUGCAAAUGUAACUCGCAACUAAGUGUUGGCAGAUUCUCCAUCGGCGGCGACGAUCUGUAUUGCAUGACCCACUACAAGCAGGCCUUCAGGGAGAAGGGGACCUACGAUGUGUUCACUCCUAACAAUCCCUGCAAAGGGAAAUGGGAGGCAAAAGCCCAGCAAUGACGUGGAAGUGUUAAUGUAUAGUUGGGGACCACAUUCACAGCAUCCACAGGUUGAGCAAUGUAAUUCUUCAGACUCUGAGUGUUUAUGGCGACUAAGAACAUCAAAUGGUGCGAGUUUUCCAGCAAAUCUGAAAGCAGUAUUUUAGAGAAAAUGAGAGCAGAAAUCGGAACUACUUUUACUUUAUUUUUGUAAAUGAUAAUGUAAUAUAGAAAUAUCUGCAUCUGUAAUUUCCUGAAACACAACAAUCCUGUGAAAGCCUCCAUUUCUGUGCCUUAGCACUUCACAUGCUCCAUUUUUUGUAUAUUUUUUCGAGAGUAAUUUUUUUAAUGACCUGGAAAAUAGAUGUUUACUGCUUUGCAUGACUGACAUGCAAAAGUUAGACCCUUCUACUACAUGAUUAUGUCCUAAUCCUAAUGUAAUAAAUUUUGUGCUUUUGUAGUUUUAAAUUUUGCCAUGACAUACAGGAAAUAUGAUUCUUGAAUUUGUACAAUAUAUUAUGUUUAUGUUGAACAUCACUUAGAAAUAUUACAUUAGGACAAUGACAAUGAUGAUAAAAUGAUUGUCAGUUUAAUGUUAUGCUAUGGAUAUCCUUUAAACUAUACAAUUAGACAUAGUCAUAUUUAUUUGCUUCGAUUUUAAUUUUAACUGAUUUGUUGUAAUUUUUUUUUUUUGUAAAAAUACAAUUUCUCCUAAGAGGAAAAGUAUAUAAAGUGUCUUUAUGUCAAGAACACUUCAUUUCAUUGUCUUUAAUUGAAAGAAUUGUCUCAUUUUAAAAGACUGAUUUUAUUUUUUACCUUUUGAUAUAAUGUGGUCAGUUUGAUAUUCACAUUCUUUGAUUAAUCUGGCUCUAGAAGUAACUUGGCCCAACAGUGUAUGCUUUGGCCAUGAUCUCCAUUUUCAAGAUGUGUGUAUAGAAUAUGUCAUGUACACAUUACAAUAUUCUGUCCAAAGAUAGAUUAUGGAGCAUCUUAGACCUUUGAUAUGGCCUUGGAAUAUUUUUUUUUCUCAGAAAAAGAGUGAGUUGUUUUCUGUGUGAUAAUAAGCUUUUUUGUGAUAACCAAGAUUUAAUACCAAUUUUGAAUUCUUAACCCCAUUUUGGUUUUCAAAAUAUUUAGUCUACUUCAAUGGAAUGAGUCAACAAUAUAUGCCAUAUUGUUUUGUGAUCAGCUUUAAGAGUGUUCUUGUAAUUCUAAUCUCCAAUUUACCUACUAAGUAAUACUUUUUGAUGUUUUUGAAAUAAGAAUACUACUUGAUAUAUAUACACUGAAUGGCCUUUUUAGGUUUCAUGUAUUUAUAAAACUUGAAUUGUAAGUACAUAUGUAUAUAUUUUUUCAUCAAAAUUAAAUGUACUUGUUCA